UACGUAGGGGGCGAGCGUUAUCCGGAAUUACUGGGCGUAAAGCGCACGCAGGCGGUUCGCCAAGUUUGGAGUGACAGUUGUCGGCUCAACCGACAAAGGACUUCAAAAACUGGUGAACUUGAGGACGAGAGAGGAACAUGGAACUCCAGGUGUAGUAGUGAAAUGCGUAGAUAUCUGGAAGAACACCAAUGGCGAAGGCAAUGUUCCGGCUCGUUUCUGACGCUCAGGUGCGAAAGCCAGGGGAGCGAACGGG
rnacentral:rRNA from 1 species